AACUUUUAGCAACGGAUCACUUGGCUCUGGCAUCGAUGAAGAACGCAGCGAAAUGCGAUAAGUAAUGUGAAUUGCAGAAUUCAGUGAACCAUCGAAUCUUUGAACGCACAUUGCGCCCGCCAGUACUCUGGCGGGCAUGCCUGUUCGAGCGUCAUUACAACCCUCAGGCCCCCGGGCCUGGCGUUGGGGAUCGGCGGAGCCCCCGGGCACACGCCGUCCCCCAAAUACAGUGGCGGUCCCGCCGCAGCUUCCAAUGCGUAGUACACCAACCUCGCAACUGGAGAGCGGCGCGGCCACGCCGUAAAACCCCCAACUCAUGAACGUUGACCUCGAAUCAGGUAGGAAUACCCGCUGAACUUAAGCAUAUCAAUAAGCGGAGGCU
rnacentral:misc_RNA from 1 species